rnacentral:misc_RNA from 1 species
CCGCUUCCGUUUUUUUUUCCUUCUUGCCUCCCUUGUCCUUCUCUCUCCUCGACUUUGGCGUUGCUUGCCGUUCAGCGACGCGGUCGCUCUCAGCCUCUCUCUCUGACUGGGCUCGUGAUGCCUUUUACCCUCGCAUUUGCCGCACUUCUGCAUAAGCGUCCCUCUAUCCUGUGUGCGUGUGUUCGCUCUAGUCCUUUCUUGGUUUUUCUGUUGCGUUGCUAUGGUUGCGUCUUGCUUGCGCAUCGCUUGCUGGUUCGCUGCGUUGCCUCCCUCCCUCUCUCUCCUUGUCUGAGAUGCGUGUGGGCGCGCUUGUCGAUCGUCAGGUUUUGGCUCAAGGAUGACAGCUCUAGAAGCAUGAGAGGCCGUCCUUUUGCACUUCCUUGAUGAGGGCAUGCGCUGCUGUCCGCAUGUUUGCACGCGCAGGAGCAGGGGCGGGCUCGAUGAAUGGCAUCGAUUAGUGUGUGGCGCGCUUCAUCCCUCUUUUCUUCCCUCCUUCAUUCUUCUUUUCCUCUGCGGAUUUUUGUUUCUUGUCUCCCAUCCGAGGAACAGCGGGCGGUUGAAGUGCGCCACCCAGGCGCGUGCCGUUGCUCUCUCUCUCUGUGCGCCUGUCUUGCACGUUGCCUGUGGCUUUCCCUCCUUUCGCUUGUCUUCCAUUCUUUUCUAGAUCUGCAUCCUACACCAGAGCCGAGUCUUUGUGUUCUCCCUCUUCUCCCUUUUACUGACGUGUCGAUGAACCGCACUCUUGUCGCACAAAACAGAUGCACACAUCCCAACGACACACACAGGCACGGUGCUUCGUCGCGUUCGUGCGCUGCGCCGCUGCCUGCACGCUUUCCUUUCCCUCCCCAAAUGCGCUUUUUCACGCACCCAGCGCUCUGGAUCCAUCGGCUGAGAAGUGGGAAACGUGCGAGCGACAGGGGAGAGAACGGGCCAAGCGGCACUUGCGCAGAUGAGGGCAUCGGCUUCUGUGCAGCUCAGUGCAGGAGUGCAGUACUCCUGCUCACAUCAUCCCCGCACACGCUCAUGCGCGCUUCCUCUUUCCCGGUCUUUUAGACUUCUCCCCUCCCCUCGCAGGCACUCCACGGUUUCGGUGAAGGGGCAGCAGGGCUGCAGAGCGAGUUUGAUGCUAUCGAAAGGUUUACCAGAUGCCGCGCUCCGAAGGAGAUGGAACUCUCUCCUCCCAGCGCGGGACAUGCGACAGCACACACACACACAUGCUGCUCUUUGCCUCUUCCUUCUUUGUUCUCCACUUCUGUUUUCUCUCUGCAUUUUCUCGCACAG